rnacentral:tRNA from 2 species
UCCUCGUUAGUAUAGUGGUGAGUAUCCCCGCCUGUCACGCGGGAGACCCGGGUUCGAUUCCCCGACGGGGAG